rnacentral:rRNA from 1 species
AGCGAACGCUGGCGGCAGGCCUAACACAUGCAAGUCGAACGAAGCCUUCGGGCUUAGUGGCGGACGGGUGAGUAACACGUGGGAACGUACCUUUUGGUUCGGAAUAACGCAGAGAAAUUUGCGCUAAUACCGAAUGAGCCCUUAGGGGGAAAGAUUUAUCGCCGAAAGAUCGGCCCGCGUUGGAUUAGGUAGUUGGUGUGGUAAAGGCGCACCAAGCCUACGAUCCAUAGCUGGUCUGAGAGGAUGAUCAGCCACACUGGGACUGAGACACGGCCCAGACUCCUACGGGAGGCAGCAGUGGGGAAUCGUGCGCAAUGGGCGAAAGCCUGACGCAGCCAUGCCGCGUGAGUGAUGAAGGCCUUAGGGUUGUAAAGCUCAAAAGUGAAGAGAAAGGGAAACUUGAUCGAUUCACAGUAAGCUCGGGCUAAGUUCGUGCCAGCCGCCGCCGUAAAAC